CCUUCCACAGAAAUGGUGAAGUGGGUUACCAUCCUCAGCCACCUCUAACCCCAACCACCUCCUUCCCCUUGAGUCCCUCUUCCACCACCACCUACGCUGCCCCUCAUCUCCUUGCCCCAUUCCCUUCCCUCUCCACUCCCUCGCUUACCCUAACAUACUCUACUCCCUUCCCUCUCCAUUCCCUCGCUUACCCCAAGGACGAAGAGAAUGUUGGUGUAGAAUCUCUGCUAUGGAUUGAAGAAUCUCACAUUUCUCCAUUCUCUCUUGGCCGCCAAUGGCUCUCUCUGCAGAUCACCCAUUCAAACCUAUUUUCGCCACUGCUUGCUCCCACUAUGAAGUGAAGAAGAAGUGUUCGAAGCUUCAAGAAUCAUGAAACACUCUUCGCCAAACUGUGAAGCUUCUAGAAACCAAAAUCAAUGAAGUUCAGGCUCAAAAUGUGAAGCUCAACCAAAGUUACGAAUUCAGCUUAUUACAACGAUUUUAAGUGUGAAUGGAAUAUGUUCAUAGGCAGCUUUAUAAAGUAUAUUAUUCUUGAGGCCACAAUCACCAGCUAACUACUUAGGUAGUGGUUUUGGUACUGAUUUUGUGUAUUCACCAUCAGAGCCAGGUGCUGUAAGUAGUUCAAGAUCAUGGUUCACAUACGAAGAACAAGCUACAUAUGGGUUUUCUCCAAAAAAUCUACUGGGAAAAGGUGGAUUUGGUACAGUCUACAAAGGUACGCUUUUUGAUGGAAGAGUAGUGGCUGUGAAACAGCUUAAAGUUGGUGGUGGGCAAGGGGAACACAAAUUUAGAGUAGAAGUUAAGAUUAUUAGCCGUGUGCAUUAUCGCCAUCUUGUUUCCCUAGUGGGCUAUUGUAUAUCUGAGCAUCAAAGAUUGCUUGUCUAUGACUAUGUUGCUAACAACACACUUCAUUACCAUCUUCAUGGUGAAAACAAACCAAUUUUGAAUUGGCCUACCAAAUUCAAGGUUGGAGCUGGGGCUGCUCGAGGAAUAGCUUACCUACAUGAAGAUUGGGUGUCUUUUAGAUGCGAUUCGGCAGAAACCUGGUGGUGAUGCAGAAACCUGGUUUUCAAGCUUGUAUAGCUGAUAAGGAAAAGGAAAUCAGUAGGUUGAAGGAGCUCCUGGAGGCAGAGAAGAAAAAGGCGGAUAAGGACUAAUAUGUCCUGGGUGAAACGACGUCGUUUUGGGGUGGGAGGACUAAUAUGUCCUGUUUUGAAAAUUACACGUUUUGGUGUGAGAGGACUAAUAUGUCUUGUUUUAAAAAGUUACAUACCAUGUGUGCUCCCAUAACGGCCAGGUCAGCGCCACGGGAGCCACGUCAGCGUUUUUCGUUGAGUCCAACGGAGUCACUUCAACGGAGGGGUAAAUUUGUCCGCGUUUUGGAAGGGUCAGGGACAUGAAUGUAUUUUCCAAUCCUUGGGGACGAAAAUGUCCGCGAAAAAAAGGUCAGGGACCAAUUUGUCCUUUACUCAAAAAGUAAAGACUGAAGAAUGAUUUACCCUUUCGCACUAAACAAAGAAACUGAUGAGUUUGGAAAACUCUAAAUUAAUAUUUGUGAUGACUAAACAUUAUUAAUUAUAUUAAUUACUAAACAUUAUUAAUAAUUUUGUGAUGC